rnacentral:misc_RNA from 1 species
UGGGCUUGACAUGUUCCUGCCCCGAAGGGAAGCCGUGUUUCCACGGCGGUCAGGAACAUGUCAAGCCCAGGUAAGGUUCUUCGCGUUGCGUCGAAUUAAACCACAUGCUCCGCUGCUUGUGCGGGUCCCCGUCAAUUCCUUUGAGUUUUAGCCUUGCGGCCGUACUCCCCAGGCGGGGCACUUAAUGCGUUAGCUUCGGCACGGAGGGAGUCGACACCCCCCACACCUAGUGCCCAUCGUUUACAGCGUGGACUAC